AUGUUUCCAGCAGUUGUAAUAAUCGUCACGUGCUGCACGGCAAUUGUGUUGUUCCUUUAUAAGUAUACGACUUACUCGUACAAGUACUGGAAGAAAAAAUCAGUGAUAUCCGCCACGCCCGUCCCGUUCUUCGGUAACAUCAAAGAUCAUGUGAUGUUAAAAAUGACCCAGGGCGAGUGCUUGAAAAACAUUUACAAUGACUUUCCUAAUGAAAAAUUCGUGGGCAUAUACCAACUGCAGAAGCCAACCUUGUUGCUUCGAGAUCCAGAAAUCAUUCGACAGUUUCUAGUGAAAAGCUUUACACACUUUACCGACAGAGGUUUCUUGUAUGACGGACAUAGGGAACCAUUAACCAAGCACCUAGUCAAUUUAGAAGGUGACACGUGGAAGAUGCUCCGACAGAAGCUUACGCCCACGUUUAGCUCCGGUAAAAUCAAAAAUAUGCUGGGACUACUGCAAGGCUGUGGGGUACAACUUAUUAAUUACAUGGAGGCAGCCAUCGAGUCCGGAAAGUCGGAAUUCGAAAUGCGUGACUUGACGGCCAAAUUCACGACGGAUGUGAUCGGCACGUGUGCGUUCGGUAUCGAGUGCAACUCGUUGAGGGACACGCAGUCCGAGUUCAGACGGAUGGGAUGCGCGGUACUCAACUCGUCCGCGUCGUCGGCGCUGUCCAAAAUCGUCCGGGUGUUCUUCCCGAAAUUGUUCAAGGCGUUGAAACUGCGCACGUUCCCGUUUGAAGUGCAACAAUUCUUCUUGGGCGUCGUCAAGCAGACCAUCGACUUCCGGAAGACCAAUCGAGUGCUCCGGAACGACUUCAUACAGCUGUUGCUCGAGAUCAAGGACCAGAAGCAGCCGAAAAACGCCGACGACACUGCCGUCGAACUGACCGAGGAACUGAUCGCCGCUCAGGUGUUCGUGUUCUUCUUGGCCGGUUUUGAAACCUCGUCAACGACGCUGAGUUUUUGCCUACACGAGAUGGCAGUCAACCAGGAAAUCCAGAGCCGGGUGUACAACGAGAUCAACGAGACGGCCGACAAGUACGGGCUGCCGCUAUCCUACGAAGCCAUUUCGUCAAUGGACUAUUUGGAACAGUGUCUCAAAGAAACGAUGAGAAAGUAUCCGCCGGUGCAAGCGCUGUCCCGGGUGUGCACCAAACCGUACCGGAUGCCUGGCAUGGAUGUGGACGUGGACGUGGGCACGGCCGUACUGAUACCGGUAUACGCGAUACACCACGAUCCGCGGUACUACGCGGAACCGGACACGUUUGACCCCGAACGGUUCGCCAGGGACGGCAGCGCGAGGCCCGCUGGUACCUACCUGCCGUUCGGCGAUGGCCCGCGCAUUUGCAUUGGAAUGCGUUUUGCCAUGGUCGAGAUGAAAUUGGCGCUGGCACAAUUCCUUCACAGCUACUCGGUGUCAUUGAGCGACAAAUCCUGUGCGCGUAUCGAAUUCGAACCGGCAUCGUUUUUGUCGUGUCCCAAAGGCGGUAUAUGGCUGAACGUCGCUAAAAGAUGAACCAUCCUGCACGUGAGCUAAACUUAAGAGCUCACAAACGGUGGCGUGACAAACUUUAUGCACUAAUGAGGCACAAUAAUUUUUAUUGUCGAACCAAUCAUCGAUUACAAUAAAAGUCGCGAUUUUAAUAUGGUUGAAAAACGCUGGUACAGAGCAUACCUAUUGCGUCACGUGCGGUUUAUGCAUAUAUGGAAAAUGACCUCAGCGACCACGUACUAUAGCUGAUUUCAUACGACCAUAACAUUAGUAUAAGCAGCUGAUUUACUAUAAUUGUUUAAUGUAUUCCAUCAAUUUAAAAAAUAAUGCACUUUAUUAU
rnacentral:misc_RNA from 1 species